rnacentral:rRNA from 1 species
GCUGGCGGCAUGCCUAACACAUGCAAGUCGAACGAAGGCUUCGGCCUUAGUGGCGCACGGGUGAGUAACACGUGGGAACCUGCCUUUCGGUUCGGGAUAACGUCUGGAAACGGACGCUAACACCGGAUACGCCCUAUGGGGGAAAGUUUACGCCGAGAGAGGGGCCCGCGUCCGAUUAGGUAGUUGGUGGGGUAAUGGCCCACCAAGCCGACGAUCGGUAGCUGGUCUGAGAGGAUGAUCAGCCACACUGGGACUGAGACACGGCCCAGACUCCUACGGGAGGCAGCAGUGGGGAAUAUUGGACAAUGGGGGCAACCCUGAUCCAGCAAUGCCGCGUGAGUGAUGAAGGCCUUAGGGUUGUAAAGCUCUUUCGCACGCGACGAUGAUGACGGUAGCGUGAGAAGAAGCCCCGGCUAACUUCGUGCCAGCAGCCGCGGUAAUACGAAGGGGGCGAGCGUUGUUCGGAAUUACUGGGCGUAAAGGGCGCGUAGGCGGCCUGUUUAGUCAGAAGUGAAAGCCCCGGGCUUAACCUGGGAACGGCUUUUGAUACUGGCAGGCUUGAGUUCCGGAGCGGAUGGUGGAAUUCCCAGUGUAGAGGUGAAAUUCGUAGAUAUUGGGAAGAACACCGGUGGCGAAGGCGGCCAUCAGGACGGACACUGACGCUGAGGCGCGAAAGCGUGGGG